rnacentral:rRNA from 1 species
UGAGCAUAUCAAUAAGCGGAGGAAAAGAUACUAACAAGGAUUCCCCUAGUAGCGGCGAGCGAAGCGGGAAGAGCUCAAAUUUAUAAUCUGGCACCUUCGGUGUCCGAGUUGUAAUCUCUAGAAGUGUUUUCCGCGUUGGACCGCACACAAGUCUGUUGGAAUACAGCGGCAUAGUGGUGAAACCCCCGUAUAUGGUGCGGACGCCCAGCGCUUUGUGAUACACUUUCAAUGAGUCGAGUUGUUUGGGAAUGCAGCUCAAAUUGGGUGGUAAAUUCCAUCUAAAGCUAAAUAUUGGCGAGAGACCGAUAGCGAACAAGUACCGUGAGGGAAAGAUGAAAAGCACUUUGGAAAGAGAGUUAACAGUACGUGAAAUUGUUGGAAGGGAAACGCUUGAAGUCAGACUUGCUUGCCGGAGCUUGCUUCGGUUUGCAGGCCAGCAUCAGUUUUCCGGGGUGGAUAAUGACGGUUUGAAGGUAGCAGUCUCGGCUGUGUUAUAGCUUUCCGUUGGAUACAUCCUGGGGGACUGAGGAACGCAGCGUGCUUUUUGCGAAAGACUCGUCUUUUUCACGCUUAGGAUGCUGGUGGAAUGGCUUUAAACGACCCGUCUUGAAACACGGACCAAGGAGUCUAACAUGCUCGCGAGUAUUUGGGUGUCAAACCCGGAUGCGCAAUGAAAGUGAAUGUAGGUGGGAACCGCAAGGUGCACCAUCGACCGAUCUGGAUUUUUUAAGAUGGAUUUGAGUAAGAGCGCGUAUGUUGGGACCCGAAAGAUGGUGAACUAUGCCUGAAUAGGGCGAAGCCAGAGGAAACUCUGGUGGAGGCUCGUAGCGGUUCUGACGUGCAAAUCGAUCGUCAAAUUUGGGUAUAGGGGCGAAAGACUAAUCGAAUCAUCUAGUAGCUGGUUCUGC